AGAGAAACCAUUAGAACUAAAAUGUUACACUGACUCGCUAGCGCCUCUUAAGUUUGUAACCCAUAAUUAAGAAGAACUUAAAAAUAAGUAGAUCUAAAUUAUCAUAUAUUGCAUACGCAGUAUAAUAUUGUACUCAUUAUCUGUUGAUCAAAAGUAUUCUACUUAACGUGACUAGAUAGAUACAACAGUAACCAAGUAUUUGAUUACCCC
rnacentral:lncRNA from 1 species